UAGACAACCUGCCGCAAAGAUGGGGACAACAGUCCGAAAGGACUGCUAAUACCGAAUGUUGUAUCUCCUCCGCAUGGAAGAGAUAUUAAAGAUGGCCUCUACUUGUAAGCUAUCGCUUUGCGAUGGGUCUGCGUCUGAUUAGCUAGUUGGUGGGGCAACGGCCUACCAAGGCGACGAUCAGUAGCCGGUCUGAGAGGAUGAACGGCCACAUUGGAACUGAGACACGGUCCAGACUCCUACGGGAGGCAGCAGUGGGGAAUCUUCCGCAAUGGGCGAAAGCCUGACGGAGCAACGCCGCGUGAGUGAAGAAGGUCUUCGGAUCGUAAAGCUCUGUUGUCGGGGACGAAUGUUGAGGCCUAGAACAUAGGUUUCAAAUGACGGUACCUGACGAGGAAGCCACGGCUAACUACGUGCCAGCAGCCGCGGUAAUACGUAGGUGGCGAGCGUUGUCCGGAAUUAUUGGGCGUAAAGGGAGCGCAGGCGGGAAGGUAAGUCUAUCUUAAAAGUGCGGGGCUCAACCCCGUGAGGGGAUAGAAACUAUCAUUCUUGAGUGCAGGAGAGG
rnacentral:rRNA from 1 species